rnacentral:rRNA from 1 species
UACGUAGGGUGCAAGCGUUAAUCGGGAAUUACUGGGCGUAAAGCGUGCGCAGGCGGUGAUGUAAGACAGAUGUGAAAUCCCCGGGCUCAACCUGGGAACUGCAUUUGGUGACUGCAUAGCUAGAGCCCGUAGAGGGGGGUGGAAUUCCACGUGUAGCAGUGAAAUGCGUAGAGAUGGUGGAGGAACACCGAUGGCGAAGGCAGCCCCCUGGGAUGAGACU